rnacentral:lncRNA from 1 species
AUUCUCAGACCCCACCCAAAACCUACUAAUUCAGAAUUGCUGGGUGUGGGGCCAAUAAAUCUGUGUUUCACCGAGGCAUCACGUGAUUCUGAUGCACGUUAGGUUUGAGAACAUUGGAUUAGAGAAACGAAGCGACCUCUUUCAUUAUAACAGAAGGGAAGGGGAAAAAGAUAAAAUGUAGGAUUAACUUGAGGAUCUUCAAUGACUUCUUUACUCCUGAAAGAGAAGCAUGAUCAAGUCAGAAUCAACCAAUUGAAGAUUCCAUGCUGUUCCUGGUCUCUGUAUUUAUGCUAACAAAUUCUUCGUUAUUUCAUUGCGGCAUCUGAGCAGUACAUGCUUAUAAGACAGUGGACAACCAGCCUCCUGUUUGUGAGGACUUCCUACCAAGAUGUAACAAAAGAACUUGGAAUCAUUUAUGGGACAGAGAGAAUGGUGAGAAGAGCCGAGGGAAAGGACAAGAAAAAACAAAAAAAAGUUCCCCAGACUAAGAAGAGUGUGCAGAUGGCGGAAGGACUGACAUUACAAAUUUCCAUUAUGCUACAUCACAGAUUAUUUUUAAAAACGUAGCAUUAAAAGAAAUACUUUGGGGGCCGGCUCUGUGGCCGAGUGGUUAAGUUCGUGCGCUCCGCUGCGGUGGCCCAGGGUUUGGAUCCUGGGCGUGGACAUGGCACUGCUCGUCAGGCCACAUUGAGGCGGCGUCCCACAUCCCACAACCAGAAGGACGUGCAACUAAGAUAUACAACUGUGUACAGGGGCGGGGUGGGGAGAUAAAAGCAGAAAAAAAAAAAAAAAAAAAAGAUUGGCAACAGUUGUUAGCCCAGGUGCCAAUCUUAAAAAAAAAAAAAAAUACUUUGGUAAAUGUAUCUGAUGGCUAGCAUGUGUUCAACAAACAUCACUUGCAUGGUUCUUUUUCCUGGUUACCCAUUCACAUUUUCACAUAUAGAAUGAGGAUUGCUAUUUGCAUGUUAACUAUGAGAACACUGAGAUAAAUAUUGAGGUUUUGACCAAGGUCACAGGGGAAAUUGAUGCCAGAGCUAGGCAAGAGCUCCAGCUUCUGAGGAGUAUAUGCCAAGAAGAGGGAGAAAGAUAAAAAAAAGUUUUGUGUGUUUUUCCUACUCAAGGUCAGUAGAGAAGGAAUUACCUUCUUUCUUAUUGGAUUUGAAUUCAGAUUAAGUUCUUUAAUUUCCGUCUUUGUCCCCAGUGUUUAUUCAGUUGAGUCCCAGAUUUCUUGUAAUGAAUAGGAUAGCAGGACAGCAAGAAGAGAGGGUUAAUAUUCAGACAUAAUGUGCCACUGACUGCUGCGUGAGCCACAGUUUUGGCUCAUAGGUGUACUUGAAAACCCCCAGAUUCCAUCUGUUUCCUUCAUUGCCUUAGGAGUUUGGAGUUAAUUGAUAAAGCUCGGCUCAACCUACCAUUUUUGAAGAAUACUUAAUUUUUUUCUGGUAUUUAAAAAUUCCAAAUAGCUUAAAGACUAAGUAUGGAAGUAAAA